CAUGCAGUCGACGGCAGCACGGGGGCAACCCUGGUGGCGAGUGGCGAACGGGUGAGUAAUACAUCGGAACGUGUCCUGUAGUGGGGGAUAGCCCGGCGAAAGCCGGAUUAAUACCGCAUACGCUCUACGGAGGAAAGGGGGGGAUCUUAGGACCUCUCGCUACAGGGGCGGCCGAUGGCAGAUUAGCUAGUUGGUGGGGUAAAGGCCUACCAAGGCGACGAUCUGUAGCUGGUCUGAGAGGACGACCAGCCACACUGGGACUGAGACACGGCCCAGACUCCUACGGGAGGCAGCAGUGGGGAAUUUUGGACAAUGGGCGCAAGCCUGAUCCAGCAAUGCCGCGUGUGUGAAGAAGGCCUUCGGGUUGUAAAGCACUUUUGUCCGGAAAGAAAACCUCUGGGUUAAUACCCCGGGGGGAUGACGGUACCGGAAGAAUAAGCACCGGCUAACUACGUGCCAGCAGCCGCGGUAAUACGUAGGGUGCAAGCGUUAAUCGGAAUUACUGGGCGUAAAGCGUGCGCAGGCGGUCCGCUAAGACAGAUGUGAAAUCCCCGGGCUUAACCUGGGAACUGCAUUUGUGACUGGCGGGCUAGAGUAUGGCAGAGGGGGGUAGAAUUCCACGUGUAGCAUUGAAAUGCGUAUAGAUGUGGAGGAAUACCGAUGGCGAAGGCAGCCCCCUGGGCCAAUACUGACGCUCAUGCACGAA
rnacentral:rRNA from 2 species